UUGGAGGUUCGCCUUCAUGUCUAGGCCCCUACCCGAACUCUUACCGAACUCGAGCGUCCUUGCCUAGGCUGCCACACAUACUAGUUAAUCCUGGGAACCAUGGCUAU
rnacentral:rRNA from 1 species